rnacentral:rRNA from 1 species
AUUGAACGCUGGCGGCAGGCCUAACACAUGCAAGUCGAGCGGAUGAGUGGAGCUUGCUCCAUGAUUCAGCGGCGGACGGGUGAGUAAUGCCUAGGACUCUGCCUGGUAGUGGGGGACGACGUUUCGAAAGGAACGCUAAUACCGCAUACGUCCUACGGGAGAAAGCAGGGGACCUUCGGGCCUUGCGUUAUCAGAUGAGCCUAGGUCGGAUUAGCUAGUAGGUGAGGUAAUGGCUCACCUAGGCGACGAUCCGUAACUGGUCUGAGAGGAUGAUCAGUCACACUGGAACUGGGACACGGUCCAGACUCCUACGGGAGGCAGCAGUGGGGAAUAUUGGACAAUGGGCGCAAGCCUGAUCCAGCAAUGCCGCGUGCAGGAUGAAGGCCUUCGGUUGU